rnacentral:rRNA from 1 species
AGCGAACGCUGGCGGCAGGCCUAACACAUGCUAGUCGAACGAACCUUUCGGGGUUAGUGGCGGACGGGUGAGUAACACGUGGGAACGUGCCUUUAGGUUCGGAAUAACUCAGGGAAACUUGUGCUAAUACCGAAUGUGCCCUUCGGGGGAAAGAUUUAUCGCCUUUAGAGCGGCCCGCGUCUGAUUAGCUAGUUGGUUGAGGUAAUGGCUCACCAAGGCGACGAUCAGUAGCUGGUCUGAGAGGAUGAUCAGCCACAUUGGGACUGAGACACGGCCCAAACUCCUACGGGAGGCAGCAGUGGGGAAUCUUGCGCAAUGGGCGAAAGCCUGACGCAGCCAUGCCGCGUUAAUGAUGAAGGUCUUAGGAUUGUAAAAUUCUUUCACCGGGGACGAUAAUGACGGUACCCGGAGAAGAAGCCCCGGCUAACUUCGUG